UACGGAGGAUCCAAGCGUUAUCCGGAUUCAUUGGGUUUAAAGGGUGCGUAGGCGGAAUGGUAAGUCAGUGGUGAAAUCUCUUCGCUUAACGAAGAAACUGCCUCUGAUACUGCCAAUCUUGAGUGCAUUUGAUGUGGGCGGAAUGUGUCAUGUAGCGGUGAAAUGCUUAGAUAUGACACAGAACACCGAUUGCGUAAGCAGCUCACAAAACUGUAACUGACGCUGAGGCACGAAAGCGUGGGGAUCAAACAGG
rnacentral:rRNA from 1 species